AGAACGAACGCUGGCGGCAGGCUUAACACAUGCAAGUCGAACGCUCGUAGCAAUACGGGAGUGGCAGACGGGUGAGUAACGCGUGGGAACAUACCCUUCGGUUCGGAAUAACUCGAGGAAACCCGAGCUAAUACCGGAUACGUCCGCAAGGAGAAAGAUUUAUCGCCGAAGGAUUGGCCCGCGUCCGAUUAGCUAGUUGGUGGGGUAAUGGCCCACCAAGGCGACGAUCGGUAGCUGGUCUGAGAGGAUGAUCAGCCACACUGGGACUGAGACACGGCCCAGACUCCUACGGGAGGCAGCAGUGGGGAAUAUUGGACAAUGGGCGCAAGCCUGAUCCAGCCAUGCCGCGUGAGUGAUGAAGGCCCUAGGGUUGUAAAGCUCUUUCGGCGGGGAAGAUAAUGACGGUACCCGCAGAAGAAGCCCCGGCUAACUCGUGCCAGCAGCCGC
rnacentral:rRNA from 1 species